rnacentral:rRNA from 1 species
AACGAACGCUGGCGGCGUGCUUAACACAUGCAAGUCGAACGCGAAAGGGACUUCGGUCCUGAGUAGAGUGGCGCACGGGUGAGUAACGCGUAGAUAAUCUGUCCUUGUGUCUGGAAUAAUACGUCGAAAGGUGUACUAAUACCGGAUAUUCUUGCUUUUCAUACGAGAGGUAAGCAAAGGUGGCCUCUGAUUUAAGCUACUGCAUGGGGAGGAGUCUGCGUACCAUUAGCUAGUAGGUGGGGUAAAGGCCUACCUAGGCUUCGAUGGUUAACGGGUCUGAGAGGAUGAUCCGUCACACUGGCACUGGAACACGGGCCAGACUCCUACGGGAGGCAGCAGUGAGGAAUAUUGCGCAAUGGGGGCAACCCUGACGCAGCGACGCCGCGUGAGUGAGGAAGGCCUUCGGGUCGUAAAGCUCUGUCAAAGGGAAAGAAGUGCAUGGUGGUUAAUACCCAUCAUGUUUGACGGUACCCUUAAAGGAAGCACCGGCUAACUCCGUGCCAGCCGCCGCCGUAAUAC